rnacentral:lncRNA from 1 species
GGCCAGAGCCGCGGCAGAGGCAGAGGAGGGAGCUAGGAGGUGAGACCCGCUCCACCCUGCUCGCCUAGGCUCGGCGGAGGCUAAGAGCAGGGCAGCCUCCUCUGCCCGGCGCCCGCUGAGCCCCGGCAUCUGGAACUCAGGGCCCUGGCGCUCCAGGGGCGGGAACUGGCCGGGAGGACCGCGCGGGAGAGCACGGAUGGGCACCCUGGGCUCGAUAAUGUAAAAAGGGCAGCUCUCUGGCAUGUUCCUGACUGAGGAUCUCAUAACAUUUAACUUGAGGAACUUCCUCCUUUUCCAGCUUUGGGAGUCAAGCUUCUCACCUGGGGCGGGUGGGUUCUGCACCACCCUCCCACCCUCCUUCCUCCGUGUGGACGAUAGAGCCACAUCCAGCACCACGGACAGCUCCCGGGCGCCUUCAUCUCCUCGUCCUCCAGGCAGCACAAGCCAUUGUGGAAUCUCCACCAGGUGUACAGAACGGUGCCUCUGCGUCCUGCCACUCAGGACCUCUCAAGUCCCCGAUGUGAUGGCUCCUCAGCAUGAUCAGGAACCAAAAAGAAGAAUGUACUUCAUCUGGUUGGGCUGGAUUCCCUCUGAUAAGCCUUCCCAGUUGACUGAAAGAUGAGGCUAGGCUCUAGCAAGUUGAAGUCAAACCAGCUCCUUCAAGAAGCUUUGAGCAGAAUGAAGUGGGGAGGACCCAGCUUCCAGCCCAGGAAGCCCACUGUACCUGGAGCCAUCUGGGAUAAGACUUUGACCCAUGACUCCCAUAUCCACAGCCUGUCCAUCCUAGCCCAUCCCAGUUUAUCCUGUAUCAUUUGAGCUGGGAUUCCCACAUCCUCUGAGUUGGAAGUCCCAUCUCAAGUCUUCAAUAAAGACUCUUGAAUAUUGAA